rnacentral:rRNA from 1 species
GUAGUCUCGCACAGAUGCAUAUCAAUAAGCGGAGGAAAAGGAAACUAACAAGGAUUCCCCUAGUAACGGCGAGUGAAGCGGGAAGAGCUCAAAUUUGAAAUCUUAAAGGGUUUCCCUUUACGAAUUGUAGUUUAAAGAAGUGUUUUCUGUUGAGGUUUUGGUAAAAGUUCUUUGGAAUAGGACAUCAUAGAGGGUGAGAAUCCCGUAUUUGACCUUUACUUUCAACUUUGUGAUACACUUUCAAAGAGUCGGAUUGUUUGGGAAUGCAGUCCAAAAUGGGUGGUAAAUUUCAUCUAAAGCUAAAUAUUGGCGAGAGACCGAUAGCGAACAAGUACCGUGAGGGAAAGAUGAAAAGAACUUUGAAAAGAGAGUUAAACAGUACGUGAAAUUGUCAAAAGGGAAGCGUUUGACACCAGUGUUGUUUUUCUGAAAAUCAAUUAAAGAACUGUUUAUGCUAAGUUGUUUAGACUUUAUCAGCUAACUGUUUAGUUUUGAGCUUUUCUUUAAUGCACUUUUCAGUUAACAAGUCAACAUCAAUUUCUUUUGCUGUAAAAAAGCUUGAGGAAGGUGGCUUGAGAUUCGUCUUAAGUGUUUAUAGCCUCUUGCCUAUGCAGUCGGAGAGAUUGAGGUCUGCAGCGUAGAUCCUUCGGGGCUAAAUGCGUUUGUGCUAAGUUAUAGCAUUUUAUAGACAACUUGUUGACUAUGAUUUGUCUUGUAGCUUACUCGCUUAUGUUAUUUUACCUACGCUUAGGAUGUUGAAGACUCUACAGAGAUA